rnacentral:rRNA from 1 species
ACGAACGCUGGCGGCGUGCUUAACACAUGCACGUCGCACGGGAUUUAGUAAACGGAAGCCUCGGUGGAAGAUUACUAAUGAGAGUGGCGAACGGGUGAGUAACGCGUGAGCAACCUGCCUAUGACAGUGGGAUAGCCUCGGGAAACCGGGAUUAAUACCGCAUAAAAUCGUAGAAACACAUGUUUCAACGGUCAAAGAUUUAUCGGUCAUAGAUGGGCUCGCGUCUGAUUAGCUAGUUGGUGAGAUAACAGCCCACCAAGGCGACGAUCAGUAGCCGGUCUGAGAGGAUGAACGGCCACAUUGGAACUGAGACACGGUCCAAACUCCUACGGGAGGCAGCAGUGGGGAAUAUUGCACAAUGGGGGAAACCCUGAUGCAGCGACGCCGCGUGAACGAAGAAGGUAUUCGUAUCGUAAAGUUCUGUCCUAUGGGAAGAUAAUGACAGUACCAUAGAAGAAAGCUCCGGCUAAAUACGUG